rnacentral:lncRNA from 1 species
UUGGUUCUCCAAUUUCCACCGAACCUUCCCCGCUGUCGGCCGCCCACCCCUCGGAGAGCCGCCCAGCGCGCUCUCCCGGGGAACCCCGGGCAGCCUCUCCGGGCAGCCUCUCCCGCCAGCCCCGCCUGCCCCGCCGAACCGUGGGAUACGCCUCCGCCACGUGCCCGCCUCCCGCGCCUAGACCUCCCGCAAUUGGCUGGUGACCCUGCCCGUCGCGGGGGGAAGGGCGUGUCCCCCGCAAGACGGCGCUCCCAUUGGUCACGACGGCAGCGGCCGCGCGCGCGGACCCGGCGAGGAGGGGAAGCCGGUGGUGGUGGCGGCUGCGGCGGCUGCGGCGGCGGAACGGGCGGAGGCAGCCGGUUUCGUAACCGUCGCUCCUCCUGGCUGACUCUCGGGCUGCGAGGCCUGGGUCGGGUCGGGCCGCGCGGUGCGGGGCCGCUUGGAGUGGAGGCCGCCUGGGAGCGGGCGGGCUGGAGGGGCCAGGUACAUGUGAAGAUUUCUUGGCAGUUCAGUGUGGAAACCAUUGAUCACCUUGUCUUCAUUCUGCUUGUUCUGUGUUGACAAGGGAGCGUGCCCAAAUGAGCAAGGUAUCGCAGCAGAACAGCACUCCGGGCGUGAACGGAAUAAGUGUCAUCCAUACUCAGGCUCAUGCCAGCGGCUUACAGCAGGUUCCUCAGCUGGUGCCCGCCGGCCCUGGGGGUGGAGGCAAAGCUGUGCCUCCCAGCAAGCAGAGCAAAAAGAGCUCACCCAUGGAUCGCAACAGUGACGAGUACCGUCAGCGCAGGGAGAGGAACAACAUGGCUGUGAAAAAGAGCCGGUUGAAAAGCAAGCAGAAAGCGCAGGAUACGCUGCAGAGAGUCAAUCAGCUCAAGGAAGAGAAUGAACGGUUGGAAGCAAAAAUUAAAUUGCUGACUAAGGAAUUAAGUGUACUGAAAGAUUUGUUUCUUGAGCACGCACACAACCUCGCAGAUAACGUGCAACCCAGUAGCACUGAAAAUACGACAAAUCCUGACAAGGCAGGACAGUAGAGCUCACCCCUUCCAAACUUCACACCUUGUGGCUUGAACAUUUAAGGUGGGACUACCUACACCUCUCUCAUCAGCGGCUGAACCGCCAUUAUUCAGAGAUCCAUUGAAGGUUGUUUUCUAGGGUCAGCCCUGAAGAGCUGAUUAGCUAAAAAUGUUAGACGUGUAACUUGAAUAUCUGGUUUUAAAUGAUAAGGAUUUUUGUGGGGAUAAAAAACACUUAAAGGUAUAUGGUAAAAAAAAAAAAAACUGCCCUGGAACCUUGAUGUUCUUAAUAAAUGCUGACUUCC